rnacentral:rRNA from 1 species
GACGAAGGAUGCAAGCGUUAUCCGGAUUCAUUGGGUUUAAAGGGAGCGUAGGUGGUCUUAUAAGUCAGUGGUGAAAUCCUGUCGCUUAACGAUAGAAUUGCCAUUGAUACUGUAGGACUUGAGUACAGUUUGCCCGUUGGCGGAAUAUGACAUGUAGUGGUGAAAAUACAUAGAUAUGUCAUAGAACACCGAUUGCGAAAGGCAGCUGACGAAACUGUAACUGACACUGAGGCUCGAAAAGUGUGGGGGGAU